rnacentral:lncRNA from 1 species
ACAAGCUCUCUCUUCUUUCUUUCUGUCUCUCUCUCUCUCUCUCUUCCCUCGUGCGAAUUCCCCUCCACCGACUGCCCCUUAUCAAUUUCAACUUUGUUUCUCCUCCUUCACUUUUUUUUUUUACUUUUUGACUAUUCAAACUCUUAUCUUCUACUCUCUCUCUUAUCCCUUCUUCUCUCUCACUCUCUCUCUCGGUACACUCUCUCUCCUUUGGUUCGAGCAAACCAGCGAAACAGAAGCAGAAGCAAGCACAGCAGCACCGAGAGGAGAAGACCGAAGUAGCUCGCCGUCGCCGCCUACGCGCUGCUUUGCCGCUCACCGCUCGCCCUCCACCUCUUCUUCACCCCCCAUUCAGUCGUCGUUGCCGCCCUCCUUCUCUUCCUUUCUGUUUCGUGCGAAGCCCAGUGGAAGCAGAAACAGAAGUAGCGGCUCUCGUUGCCUGAAGCCGGAGCAGCAGCCGCCCGCUGUUCCGCCGUUCACGCGUGCGCGGCCCCACUGAGCUGCCGUUCGUUUCCCUCCUCACGCCAGUCCAGCGUCGUCCAGCUGCAGUCGCCUCUGCCCAGUCCCGUUCAACCACCUCCGGCUGCGGUUCAGCCACCUCCGGUCACCAUACACCGGCACCUUGACCCACUGGAGUCCCCUCGCCCUCCGCCGGCCUUGCCUCGCCAUCUUAGCCCCGGAUCCGCCCUCAACCAGCAGCGAACAGAGAAGUGCAGAAUGGGUAUGUCAGCAACUAUUUGGCCUGUUUUGGCCGUUUUCUCGAGCCCGGAUGCUCGGCCCGCUUUGAGGAAAGUCGAUCCUCACGUCGAUCCCGUCGUAUUGAGUGAGUUUUGCUCACUACUGCCUUCUUAGUUUGCUAAUUAUACUUAAAGGUUGAUUAAUGCUAAUUAAGUUAAGUGUAAUUAGGUGUUUAGAUUAGAAUAUAUUAUCAAUUAUUAGUUAAUUGCAUUGCAUAUUAGUUAGGUGGUUAGUGUACUUAGAUAGAGAAAUGUCUAUAGUAUUUAUUGGAUGCUUCUUGGGAUUUUUACCGACCUUUAUCGGGUGUUAAUUAGGCAAUUCGGGCCUAGAUGGAAUUUUUAGGAAUUAAAUAUUAAUUUUCGAAAUUAAUUAUUUAAUUAUUUAUUUUCUGGAACUUCAACUGGAAUGGCUAGUGACCGGGAUUUUAUGCUGAUGAUCGUGGUGCAGUCCGUUUAUUUAAUUGAGCUUUAUAUUGUGCUAGAUUGAAUAUAUUGUAUUUAUUUAUUUAAUUUUCGAAAUUAAUUAUUUAAUUAUUUAUUUUCCGGAAAUUCAAUCGGGAUGGCUGGUGAUCGGAAUUUUAUGCUGAUGACUGUGGCGUAGUCCAUUUAUUUAAUUGAGCUUUUAUAUUGUGCUAAAUUGAAUUUAUUGUAUUUAUUUAUUUAAUUUUCGAAAUUAUUUAUUUUCCGAAAAUUCAACUGGGAUGGCCGGUGACUGGAAUUUCGUGCUGAUUGUCAUGGUGCAGUCCGUUUUAUUUAUUUGAUCUCCAUAUUGUGCUUAAUUGAAUUGAUUGUGCAAUUCGAAGAAUUAUUCCUUAAUUUAUUGAAAUUGAGUGGAAUUGAUUGAUUGAUCGGUAGAUGGCCGAGUUUGGUCCUUUAACAUUUAUAAUGCCUUGAUGAGUUGUAAUGUGGAGAGCUCGUGAGAUUUAACUGGGAAUACUCUUGACCGAGACCGAUCAGGUACGAGGUAAUAGACAUACGUGGUUCAGUGAAAGGAAAUCAUUGGCAAAAACGGCGUCUUAAAGAACGCACGUAGCUGUCUACUUACUACAUCUUUAUGGACCUACGUGGUUUGGUGAUUUGGAAUAUCACUGUAAAAAACGGCGCCUUAAAGAACGCACGUAUCGGUCUAGUACUCAUAUUGUUAUAGGCAUGUGUGGUUCGAUGAUUAAGGAUAUCACUGGCGAAAACGGCGCCUUAAAGAACGCACGCAAUUGUCUAUUGAACACAUCGUUGUAGGCAUGUGUGGUUCGGUGAUUUGGGAUAUCACUAGCGAAAAUGGCGCCUUAAAUAACUUACGCAAUUGUCUAUUGAACACAUUGUUGUAGGCAUGUGUGGUUCGGUGAUUUGGGAUAUCACUGGCGAAAACGGCGCCUUAAAGAACGCAUGUAAUUAUUUAGUGUAUACGCCACCUUGGCGAAAACGACACCCAAGAGCAUUGAUGGAGCUCUGUGACUAAGUAUACUAUUAGAGGUUAUGUGGAAUGGAAUGACUUACCUAGAAAUGGUCCAACUGACAUGUAAUCGACUAAGUCGAUUAAUCUUUGUUUUGAUCUAAUGCUGUGAAAUGAUUGAUUGAUUGGAGUGAUCGGUGAAUGGUUGAUUGAGAUGUAAUUGACUAGGUCGAUUGAUCAUUGCUUGAGUCUAAUGUUGUAAAUUGAUUGAUUAAAUAGAAAUGACGGUGAGUGGUCGUGUUGAUGUGUAAUCGACUAGGUCGAUUUGAUCGAUGCUUCAAUUAGUGAAGUGAUUGCUUGGGUGCCUAUUUGAUCUGUGCUAAUAUGCAGGUGGAAUCUGAGGCCAAGAUAAGUCCUCUGACUCAUGUUGUGCAUAGGCAGCCCUAAAGUGUAUUAAUUUACUAAUCGGGUCUUAAGGGGUAGAACUUACUGAGACGUGGUCUCAAUGGUUAUUGAAUAACCAUUUCAGGACCCUGAUGAGGAGCCUAAGGAGGAGGAAUCUGAAGAGGAGAACUCUAAUGUAAAAUCAGAUGAGAAUGAAGAUUUUGGAGAAGAAGAUGACCAUGAGGAGGAUUUUGAGUACAACCCGGAUGAGGACUAAGAUCAUAUCUUCUUUUGUGAACCCUGUACAUGUGUGGUUGUGAAUUUAAAUAUGAAAAUUAUGGCCCUGUUUUUCUAUCCCAUUAUUUUAUUGUCUGGGGAUUUAUAACUGCUUCCACCUGUGUAUAUUGAAAAUGAAAGGGUCGGCGAUAC